rnacentral:misc_RNA from 1 species
CCAGAGAUGGCGGGCCCCUGCGCCCCCGUCCCCAACCCUUUGUCGACCCAAAAACCUUUUGCCUCGGGGGCAGAGCGGCCCUCGCGCCGCCGCCCCCGGAGGACCACCAAACUCUGUCUCUGUACGUCGGAGUCUUUGAUGAAUUAAUCA